rnacentral:tRNA from 1 species
UGUUCUGUGGCUUAGUUGGUUAAAGUCUGGACUAGUGGUACGGAGUCGUGGGAUCGAAUCCCACCAAAAUAA